UACCGGCUGAGCCGAUAAUUACGCAGUCAAAAUCCCAGUCGGUCCGGUUUCGGGAAGGAACUUUGGAAUAUUCGGUCGCCGUGGUAGAGAGCCGGAGACGGUUCGGAUUCCGUCCUGACCGACCGGAAAACGUCGAUCUUCGGGUGAACCGGUGUUCUGCUCGAGUUUUUCGACCUUCUUCUGAUAGAUUUGCCUCUUAUUUCUUGGAUUCAAUCGUGUCUGGCGGUAAGAAGCGAGGGGGGAAGCUAUGAGGUUCCCGAUGCCUUCGAGAGUGGUGGAGAGCUCGGCAACCUCGCAAGUUUCAGGCAUUUGCUGGAACUCAAAAUGUUUCAAGAAUACAAAAGGAUGAAAGCCUGGAGGGUUAAUGUUCAGAUAGAAGGUUGUGACCUCGAUCAUGGUUAUCUAUUUGGCACAAUGGAACCCCUUAAUGUUCCUUUGACACUCACCUUCUUGUAAUUCUUCUGUACUAGUGAAGCAAUAUCCCUGACUUAAGACUCUUAGUUGGCCUGAAGCCUCCUUGCCUCGGUCUUCUCCUCUUGCUCAAGGGCUGCAAGAAUUAAAACUCAGAAUAACUCUCCCGAGUCAUGAGAGAUCAUUAAAGAAAGUAUUGAAAACCAAGAAGAUCAUGGUAACACAAUUGCACCUGUAUGAUGAGCAUUGGCAGAGACAGGAAUGUUUGUGGAUGUGUUGUUUGCUGUCAUCGUUGUUGCUGCUGUCGUCGUCGACAACCCAGAUGUUGAAGAAUCGUUGUUGCUCCAAAGCAACGAAGAAACGACACCUCUUACCUUCUCCACCAUGCCCACAUCACGGUUAUCACCACUGGGCGUUUCUUUCUUUGGACUGAUGGCUUCGGUGAUCACCUGAGAAAGGGCUCUCUCAUCUUCACCUGGUUCCAGUUUAUGCAUCAGAUACUCUUUCACUGACACGCCUUUGUCCCAUAGGUGUUCAGAGGGACCCGCCCCUGUGCUGGUGCUUCCGACACUAUCAGUGCUUGUGUUGUCUGCAUUGGGGGCAGUGGAGAUGUAAAUCUUGGAAGCAAUCCGGUUGGUGGCUUCAGAAACGGUGGCAUAAGCUGGAGCAAGUGUGGAUGUGACUGUUGCACAAGCUGGCGCAAGCUUAUCGGUCACGGUUUGGGUAAUGGACUUGUUUUUGUCAGCUGGGUCGUUCUGUUUGUCUUUGUUAUGUUCUUUCUCCUCACUGUGAUCAGUGGUCAUACCGUUAGCUACCACAUGCUUAUCAGAGAUCACUGGGUUCGCUCUUGGGUUCUGUUUUGAUGACUCUUUACAUGCCUCAGCUGCCAUCUCUGAUUUAUACACUGCAUUAAUAAUGGGGAAACAAAGAAAGAGAAGCAGAUGUUAUUAAUGUGCAAAAGUUGGAAGGAUGGUUUUGGCCUUUUGGGAACAGAAUUGCUAACCUCACAUAUGUGAGUGAGGGUGAGUGGGGUCGCAUGCUCAAUAAACUCUUUAGCAUGAAGAGUUUGGGGCUUUCUACCUUUAUUUUUGGAUGUAUAUAAGGUUAUGUUUAAGUCCCAUUUUUGGGUCCGGCCUACCAGCGAAUUAGUAUUGCUGGGUAAAAAGCAAGCUUUUUGGGCAUUGAGGAACAAAACAAACUCUACUCUUCAUGCGAACCAAUUUUUUUCUU